GGUAUCAGUUUGAAAAGUGCCAACUUUUAUUGGCACGUUUCUGCUGAGAUCCGGAGCUCGACUCUCUGGCGCCCAGGAAUAAAAUGAGUUGCUGUGUUUUUCACGGAGAAAAACUAAUUAACAUGGAAUAACGUCAGUCUUCGAUGGAAAAAAAGAUGCAGGCAAAAGAGGACAGCAGAUUUCUUCAAACAAUGCCUGUCCUCACCUCUGCAGUGCUGCCGUCUCCUCUAACCUGGCAUGUUUCUAAGAUGCCUGUCCUCACCUCUGCAGUGCUGCUGUCGCCUAUAACACAGCAUGUUUCUAAGG